rnacentral:snRNA from 15 species
UUACUUACCUGGCAUGAGUUUCUGCAGCACAAGAAUUGUGGAGACUCAGUUAUUUGUCUUGGCAUUGCACUGAGCCCUGACGAAUAACUGUGGACUGGCUAAGGUCAGCUCCGGAUGCAUCAUUUUUGAGUUCGUCCCUCAUUUGGGGCA